UACGUAGGGACCAAGCGUUGUUCGGAUUUACUGGGCGUAAAGGGCGCGUAGGCGGCGUGUUAAGUCACUUGUGAAAUCUCUAAGCUUAACUUAGAACGGUCAAGUGAUACUGAUGUGCUAGAGUGCAGAAGGGGCAACCGGAAUUCUUGGUGUAGCGGUGAAAUGCGUAGAUAUCAAGAGGAACGCCUGAGGUGAAGACGGGUUGCUGGGCUGACACUGACGCUGAGGCGCGAAAGCUAGGGUAGCAAACGGG
rnacentral:rRNA from 1 species